AGAAUCAACGCUGGCGGCGUGCCUAACACAUGCAAGUCGCACGAGAAAGGGUAGCAAUACCUGAGUACAGUGGCGCACGGGUGAGUAACACGUGAAUAAUCUACCUCCGAGUGGGGAAUAACUGAGAGAAAUCUUAGCUAAUACCGCAUAACACUUACGAGUCAAAGCAGCAAUGCGCUUGGAGAGGAGUUCGCGGCAGAUUAGUUAGUUGGCGGGUAAUGGCCCACCAAGACGAUGAUCUGUA
rnacentral:rRNA from 1 species